GUGCGGGAUCUGUGUCCUGAUGCAGCCCCCAGGGAGGACGUAUUUGCCAAUGCCCAAUUCAGAUGCGGCCAAGGAGGAUAAUGGAGAAAGAAGAGUGUCCCAGAGCAGGGAGCUGGGGGAUACAAACCCCCAAUAUGCCAGGGAGCAGAACGGGACCCGCUCAGGGAGCACUCCCUGCCUCCGGGGUGGGGCGCCCUGGCCUCGGCCGAUCCUGAGAUCCUGAGAUCUCAGAAUUGUUGCCGAGCAGGGCCUGCUCUGUUUCUUCUGUUGUUCCCUUUCGGAGUUGGCCUCUUGGUGCUGUGCGGUCCCAUGUGUCCUUACCAAUUUCCUGCCUGCAGGAUCUGUCCGUUUCUGAUAAGGGGGUGUUGAGGUCUCCAGCCACAAUAGUGGACGCAUUAAUUUCUUUAUUUUGAUUGUUUGCAGUUUGAAUAUGAUAUGCCUGGGUGUAGAGGUUGGAGCAUUUAUCCUGCCUCGCGUUCUCUGAGCUUCCUGGAUCCGUGGUUUGGUCUCUGGGUCAAGAGCAACCAUAAUACACUUGAGGCAGAGAAGUUACCCCUAGAUGGACUUUGAGUUUGAUGCUAUGAUUGACAUCCCCCCCCCACCCCCAUCGGGGAGAGGGAGAGGGGCCGAGGGAGGGGGCUAAGCAGCCCUGGAUCCCGACCACCAGCCUGAGCCUCAACGAACAGCACAGAGCCCACGUAGGGCGGCUCUGAUUCCUCCGACAUCCCAUUUUCGUUCUUUGAUGAUAUUUGUCUGUAUCCAGCUUACACAUAAAUGCUUCCAGGCGAGUGCUCCAAAUGUCUCUUUCGGAAAUCUGAAUCCCCAUGAAAACAAUGGCAACAAGAAAAAGGUGCAAGCUUUCCAGAACAAGCCCAGAAUUUGAAAAUGUGAUAAAGAGGUUAUUGUGUGUCCGAACUUUUCACACAAGAAUUGGAGGAGACUUAACACCAGGAAUAAUAAACAGAGGAAGACCAGUUAAUGCAGAGCAGAUGGGCCCGCAAAUGCUAAGCAUCUCAACAUCUUUCCCCUUGGACUUUUGGACUCAAGAUGACUGAAUGCUGGUUUCUUUAGUUGGAAAUAAAGCUAAUGCAACUGGGGAAACCUGUAAAU